UUCUAUUAGAAAUCAUUAAUAGUAAAAUCUGCUCCAUGUUUAAUAAAUAGCCGCAAUUUGUGCUAAGGUAGCAUAAUCAUUUGUCUUUUAAAUGAAGACUAGAACAAAAGAUUUAACAUUUUCAGUUCAUUUUCUUAACUUAAAUUAUUAAAUUUACCCUAAAUGUAAAAAGACAUUUAUAUAAAAGAAAGACGAUAAGACCCUAUUGAACUUAACUGCAGUUAAACUGGGGCAGUAAAUUAAUUAUUAUUUUAAUAAAAUUUAUUUUAUAAAUAUCUAAUAAAAUUAAAUAAUUCAGUUACCAUAGGGAUAACAGCGUAAUAAUCUUCUAAAGAUCUUAUUUAAAACAUAGAUUACGACCUCGAUGUUGAAUUAAUAACCUAAUUAAGGCAAAACUUAAAAAAGGAAGUCUGUUCGACUUUUAAAAAAUUACAUGAUUUGAGUUCAGACCGGUGUAAGCCAGGUCGGUUUCUAUCUUCUAAAAAAUUUUUUACAGUACGAAAGGACCUAAAAAUCUAAUA
rnacentral:rRNA from 1 species